AAACAUCUUGGGCGUACCGAAUAAAUGAAAUAAGGGGGUCUUUUGUUGGGUGGGUUUCUUCGUCGUCGUUGCAAACCACAACCCCCGUCGUAUCGUCUUACAUCAGAUCCUUCAAUGGAGUAAUUCAGUGUUAAUGGCGCUCAAUCAAUUCACCCCACUUUCUCCUCAUCAAUACAGUUUUUUCUCCUCCCCCAUCAAUCGACUUGGCUGUAUAUAUAUGGUCACAAGGCCCUGAAGAGGAAUCCCAGCACUCAUGGAAGUUUCUCUGUGCCUCGACGAACUGGAUCUUACACAGCAGCCUCCAGCGCAGAUGGCAAGAGAUCUGCGAGAUAACGAAUGGAAGUUCAAACAUAUUUUUCGAGGCUCAACACUUUAAUCCACUUGCUGAGGAAAGGGGCCAUCUAGGAGUCAAGCGAAUUUGAUGUCAUAAGAAGUAACAGCCACUUCAAAUUCACAGACAUCGCAAUCUCCAUUCGGUUGAACGAUCUGAUCAAAUUAGAGGAUCUCACGGAGACGACUGCCAUGAUUCGUACUGAGAAGUUCAGGGUCCGGAAAUAUGAACAGAUCAUGGUUUUAGCCAGGUAUUUUUUUUCAUCCAUAUUCUGAUAUAAUAUUUUUGGUCAUGGUUGUUGCAUCAAGACCACCUUUAAUGCUGAAAAUCAAACCAUCCAGCGUAUAAUGCUUUCAAUUCAAGUUGGUCGGUACGUACCCCGCGCGCUACUGUUUCUUUGUUGUUGUAUGUCGUUUGUUUGCUUUGUCAAUGUCGUUUGUUUCUUAAUAACCCAUACACCAAUAUGCAGUGGGACAAUGAUAUGUGUUAGUGUCUUUGAUAAGGUUACAGAUAACCUCCACCAGAAGUUUGAGCUUGCGGGAUUGAAGCCUAAAGUCAUGGUUGCCACCAACGUUAACCAAAAGUGGCUGGAGGGUGCCUUUUCCUCAAUGUAACCUUGGUACACACUUUUAUUUUGACAAAGAAUGUAUAGCCACCGAGAGUAUGCUAGCAGCAUUGGCUGGAUCUCAGGAUGCUAGCACCUCCACUUCUACAAGUAUGGAGGUGUGAAGAAAAAUGAAACUGUUACUCUAACUGAGCUUAACAACUACAUUCUUAAAUCUCCAUCACAGACAGCAAAAUACUACAACAUUGAGGGAGGCUCUGUUCUGCAUCUUGUCCUCUGAGUAGUAACUCAUAUUUUUUGGGUUUAGUGUUUACUGAGGCCUUGAGUGAAGCCCUCCACUUUUGGCUCUACUUAUGUAAGAAUAAAGCAAACGAAUAUCACAAUGUACAUUAAACUGUAAAGCAUAUGGCUGUUUCUGCAAACCCAGCUCGGAGGUUCUUCUUUCUUUUUUUUCAGUCAUCAAGGAUGUUAUUAAUAUUACAGGCACAAUCAAACUUAUUGGAGUAUCGUUAACAAAAACAGAACAAGACAAAUACAAGCAUUUUGAUGAGUUUGUUUA